CCUACGGUGAGCUGCAGUGAGGAAUAUUGGUCAAUGGGCGGAAGCCUGAACCAGCCAAGUCGCGUGAGGGAUUAAGGCCCUGCGGGUCGUAAACCUCUUUUGCCGGGGAGCAGUGGUCCGGACGCGUCCGGACCGGGAGAGUACCCGGAGAAAAAGCAUCGGCUAACUCCGUGCCAGCAGCCGCGGUAAUACGGGGGAUGCGAGCGUUAUCCGGAUUUAUUGGGUUUAAAGGGUGCGUAGGCGGGCAUUUAAGCCGGCGGUCAAAUGUCGGGGCUCAACCCCGGCCUGCCGUCGGAACUGGGUGCCUUGAGUGGGCGAGAAGUAUGCGGAAUGCGUGGUGUAGCGGUGAAAUGCAUAGAUAUAUGGAAGAACACCAGUGGCGAAAGCGGCUCUUUGGUCUGUAACUGACGCUGAGGUUCGAAAGCGUGGGUAGCAAACAGGAUUAGAUACCCCGGUAGUC
rnacentral:rRNA from 1 species